CUACCGUUAGCGGUUCAAUCAGGAGAGCACACGGCCAUUGUUACAUUAUGAUACAGUCCUGCCUGUCUGUCAGCAGUGUUCCAGCUGAGACAUGUACAACACAUUACUAGUGUUGGGAAACUGGACAGGGACUGGUAGGCUGGUAAAUAGUUCUCCUAUUCUACCGUGGGUAGAGGACUGCCGACUACACUGUGGGUGUGGCAGUUUCACAAAGACAUAUGAACACACACAGACACAGAAGACCGGGAAGGGCAGCCCAACUAGUUGUUAUGAGGGGACGACAAAAUGGGCCUGCCAUCCCAUUACAGUAAUGGCCCCUCUGGGGGCUGGAUACCGCUCAGUUGGGGAAAGAGGACAGUCCAACAAAACCUGUCCGUCAGGCUCAAGAAAACUGCUGAACAUCCAUUGACAUCAUGCUCUUCCCAAGCCCAGACAGCACCCUGGGAAAGACAAUAAUGUCAGCAGAAACGUGUGCUUCUGUAGUGAAUAAUGUCAGCAGUAUCGUGUGCUUCUGUAGUGAAUAAUCUCAGCAGGAACGUGUGCUUCUGUAGUGAAUAAUGUCAGCAGGAACGUGUGCUUCUGUAGUGAAUAAUGUCAGCAGGAAUGUGUGCUUCUGUAGUGAAUAAUGUCAGCAGGAACGUGUGCUUCUGUAGUGAAUAAUGUCAGCAGGAACGUGUGCUUCUGUAGUGAAUAAUGUUAGCAGUAACUUGUGCUUCUGUAGUGAAUAAUGUCAGCAGGAACGUGUGUUUCUGUAGUGAAUAAUGUCAGCAGGAACGUGUGCUUCUGUAGUGAAUAAUGUCAGCAGGAACGUGUGCUUCUGUAGUGAAUAAUGUCAGCAGGAACGUGUGCUUCUGUAGUGAAUAAUGUCAGCAGGAACGUGUGCUUCUGUAUUGAAUAAUGUCAGCAGGAAUGUGUGCUUCUGUAGUGAAUAAUGUCAGCAGGAACGUGUGCUUCUGUAUUGAAUAAUGUCAGCAGGAAUGUGUGCUUCUGUAGUGAAUAAUGUCAGCAGGAACGUGUGCUUCUGUAUUGAAUAAUGUCAGCAGGAAUGUGUGCUUCUGUAGUGAAUAAUGUCAGCAGGAACGUGUGCUUCUGUAAGGGACACUGUCGUCAUUCAGGAAGGGAAGGAAGGAGAGACAGGGCUUGUACUUCAAGAGUUCGUAUGGCAUCUAGUGGUGUAGUUUGGGAAAUGUUGAUAUCCUGGGGACAGGUUUUUUAAGUUAUUUAUCUUAACAAUACCCGUCAGGCAGGAAAACAGGUUGACAGACAGACAUUCAGACAGGCAGGCAGACUUUAACAUGGUGGAGGUGUGGAGGAACCAAAUGCAGGCUGACUUGCAUUCAAAUAGUUGGAUUGAAUCAAAACAAAAAUGGAAUGCAAAAAACAAACUGAUACAAAGCAAAGGGCUGACGUUAUACAACAAAGCGAAACCAACACUCACCAGCUACGCGCGACAUAUAGUGACAAUAACCGACAAGUGAGGGGAGCAGAGGAGCAACAUUUAAACACAUCCUGAUGGGAAGAUUGGGCCCUGGUGUGGGUGAUUAUGGGAGACAUAAUUCCUGAAGUGACGGGAGCCGGGAGUGCACGGCACGAUGGCGCUGUUCAUCACCGUACAGUGACACAGACAGACAGGUAGAUCAUGCAGACACCUUUUAUGAAGGUAUAACACAAGUUAAAGAGGCCAUAUGUCUGAUUUGUGUGAUGCUACUUAAAAUAAAUACAAGCAUAAAUGGCCAAAAGACAUCUACAUCCAUCCAUCUUCUUCCGCUUCAUCCGGGGCCGGGUCGCGGGGGGCAGCAGUCUAAGCAGAGAUGCCCAGACUUCCCUCUCCCCAGACACUUCCUCCAGCUCUUCCGGGGGGACACUGAGGCGUUCCCAGGCCAGCCGGGAGACAUAGUCCCUCCAGCGUGUCCUA
ensembl:lncRNA